ensembl:lncRNA
CCCUGAAUGAAGUUAGCUGGUUAUGCCUGUUUAAUACUGACUUCUUACAUAGUUCUUGGAGCCUCUGUUAGAGAAGAGAACUGUGUAAAUACACCUGCUCUUCACACAGUGUCAAAGGAAAGUCACUUGAGUUGAGUGGGCAGUUACCAGAGCACUGCUGUUGGAGAUCCUACACCCCAGGGCUUCCAGAUAGCAGGCAGGCAGGAGGGAGGGUCCUGCAGUGUUCAUCCUGAAGAGCCCUAGCUGGUACAGUCUUCCUCUGAGAAGUACUUGGAGAAGUAUUUUCCUAAAUCACUGAAGAUUCUCUUCGGAUUAUCUGCUGGGAGUGAGCGAGGUAUUAAACUUUAAUUUGGGGGAGUACACUUUAAGAUGGGCCUUGAUAAACUAGGGAGGAUCCAGCAUAGGCAGAGAGGAUGCCAAAGAUGCCUGGAAAUGAUUUAUGUAGAGUGAAAGAAAGAGAGGUUUAACUUUGAAAGUGAAGGCCAAGAUGAUGUCUUUCAAUAUUUAAACAGCUGUCAUGUGGCCAAGCUAGAUCCCUUGUUCUGAAUUAUUCUGUACACAGACUAAGACCAAUGAAAGGAAAUUAAAAAGUGGCAGAUUCUAUGACCACAAACCUACCAAUGAGGAGUGAAUGUCCUGGGAAGUGGAGUUAUCUAUCGCUCAUAUAUCUAAGGUAAGAGGGGAAUGUUUAUAUUAGAGCACUUUAUGAGGCAAGGAGAACAUUAACUCAGAUAACCUUGUUUCUUGAAAAAUAAAUAAAACCUGGAAGUAAUCUUAGAGAUUAUUAUCCAAGUUUAGGGGACUAAACCCUGGAGUAAUGAUUUGAUUUAUUGCAGACACACUAAUUACUGGCAGUGAGAGGACUAAAGCUCACAUCUCUAAUCCUUGUCUCAGUCUGAUUUUCACUGUAGGCCAUUCUUCCCUCUGACAUUCCCAUACAAAUCUCAGUUUCUUUGAUGCUGUGUCCCCCCAAGGGGCAUCAGGUGCUAUAAAUGAGAAAACAGCCUGAGACCAAGAAUGAAGAAAGCAGCUACUUGUCCAUCUUGUAGCAGAUGUUUGACCAGAUGGCCACUGCAUGGCCUUUGUUGAGAAGAAACCACCUGGCUUUUAAGGAUUCUACAGAAAUCAAGCAAUGGAUCAACAAGUGGAGAAAAGCACCUGUUAGAGAUGAGGAUCCACACUAGCUGCUUUGAGCUUGAAGAUGCAUGGCACAGUUGCUGUCUUCAACCAACCACUGAUUUAAAUGAAAGAUAAGAUGUAACAGUGGACGUUUUUCCUUGCUUCCCUAAUGUCUCUUGGGAAACCACGUUUCAGCAAUUCCUAAGUCAUAUGUAUGUGGCAGCACUAUCUCCAGAUCGAGGCCAUAAUUCCCAGGCCAAAAGCCAAGGACAAAGGGAUGGGUCAGUAGUACAAGUUGAGCCCAAAUAAAUAGCCCUACAUCUUCCCAGAGCUGUGACGAAGAGGCUCCAGUCUGUAGAAUGAGUCUCCAGCACCAAGAGUAUAGGGAGGAAAGGAAAGAGAGAAAGGAACAUUGGUUAGAUUGUGUUGUUGGAGCAUUGAUACAGCCUUGCCUGAAGUUCCCUGGAUUUCCCUGAAGACCUUGGGCUUUCCAGGUACAUGAUACAUAAUCUUCAUCCCCUUUUUUUCCUUGAGCCAGUGUAAGCUGGGUUUCUCUCCUUGUCAGCUGAAGAGCCCUAAGAAUUGGUACUUUACUUUAGUCAACUGGAAUGGCUUCUUAGACAGUCUGCUACCAUUCAUCUUCCGGACAUCAAGCCCAGCUGAGGGUUUUGGCAAACAAGCCCAGCAUGAGUGUUGAUAAAUUUGCUGUAACUGCCAGACUUUUCUGCUGGCUAUUUUAAGGUUGAUGUGUUUUCAGAAGCUAGGAGAGAAACUGCUAGGACACUUAUUUGGUGACAUGUAGAUUAAUCUGAUCUUCACUAGCAAUGCCCUCAUUUGAUCACAAUAACCAUUCCUAAUAAGACAUCCCUCUGUCCUAUAAAAUCAGUUUUCUACCUGUGUGAAUGCGAUCCAGAGGCAAUAUUUGAGGCAGCAUUUGAUUCUUUGGCUCUUAGUAUAAAUAUGGGAUGUAACUGAAUAUGUGACUUAUAACUUCAGUUACCUUUUCCAUUCAUAAUUCUGUGUUAGAAACUGAUCUAUAAUCUCAGAUGAGUCACAGCUGGGAUUACUAAAAGAGAAAAUUCAGCCCAGGCUUAGGGUAACAGAAAAGACAAGAGAUAUUUUUGAAAUAUAUUUGAUAUUUCCAGGACCCUCACCUUCACCCAAGAUACCAACAUCCAAUGUUGCUCAGGAAUCUUACAUAUAAUGGCAUAGUAUUUGUGUAUAACCUACAUACAUCUUCCUGUAUAGUUUAACCAUCUCUAAAUUGCUUACAAUAUAUAAUCAAUAUAAAAUCCACAAAAUAGCUAUUAUGCUAUAUUGCCUAGGGAAUAGUGACAAGGAAACAUAGUUACUAGAGAAACAUAAAAAUAUUUUCAAUCCAUGGUUGGUUGAAUCCACAGAUACAGAAAACAUGGUUAUGGAGGGCUGACUAUAUUCAUUUUGUAAGUUAGAAUUGUAUUGAUGUUCAAUUAUAUAUUAGUCGGGAGUGAGAAAUAUACCAUAAUUUAGCCUCUGAAUAUUUUAAUCUAUUUCUAAAUGCCAAGCAAAGAAAUAAAAACUAAAAAAGAAACAGAAGAAAAAUGUAUACUACUGUGAGAAAUGUGGUCUAAAUAAAGAACAAGGAAAGACUAUACACUCUUUAAUCAUAGGAAUAUAAAAUCCUUCUUAUAAGAGAAUGUUCCAGAAGUGUGCUAAAGGUUUGUAUUAUUUUAUACAGAAAGAGGAGUCUUAAUUUUUUUUUGUAAACAGUUUGAGAUUUCAGAGUUGACUCCCUAAUUUAUUUAAAACAAGAAUUGCUUCAUGAAUUAGCCUCAAGCACUCCUCAGGAAGUUAUUUAUGUGGUACUUCACCAUGGCUGCAGGUUUAUAUCAAGCCACAACUGUAUAAACAAAGACUAUUAACCUACCGGCUGGAUUUAGCAGACACUUUAGUGUAUUUAAAUCUGCUGACAUUUCAAAUGACUAUGUCUCCAGAUUCUUCACAGAUCAACCACAGCAGUGACAAGACUAUUUCUGAGUAGCUCUAAGCCAAACAAUGUGUGUGUUCUAAACAAUGACCACUAAAAAAAUGAGGGCUGGUAUUCUGCUUUUACUCAAACUUAUGCUAAGUAUUUUCAGUGGGGCUGGAAGAGUAUCAGGGUGGCUCAAAAAUGAGGAAGGCUUCAGAUGGUCUUGAAGGUAAUGAUGUAACUCUUGCAUUUUUCCACAUAUAGCACAUAAUUAUUAGUAGUAAAUAAUUUAUUGGUCAACUGGGAGAUAAUUGUUUUUCCUCUUCUGUUUUCUUUCUUUGGUAAGAUUUUAGAUGAGUGGUAUUGUUUGGGACUGUCCUCCCUUCUCAUUGUUUCAGAGUGGAUCUCAGGAAGUGUCACUGAGGAGUGGGGACAUUUAGACAGGAGGAAAAAGAGCCAGUGAGAGGGGAUUUCCACCCAAAUGGGCAUCUGGGGCUUGGUCCUACCUGGAACCUUCGAGUAGCCUACAUGUCAGGACUUUGCCGGGAAGGAGCUAGGAAAUGGGGUAUUUACCCACAAAUUCCUUUUGUUGGUGCAGGAGUGUGCCUGGGCUUUGCAUUCUGGAGGAAAUCCCAGAGUGAGAAGGAGAAAAGGUUGGUGCUUUAAAUCUGAAGCUGUCAGCUGGCAAGGAAAGUGUCUAUGAUCCUUCCAAUGACUAGCUCAGAGGAAAUACCAAUGGUGCAUCAACAGGCUUGGAUGCGCUAGCCAUUUUUACAUAAAAAAAUGUUUAGGUUUGUCAUGAGAAAUUAUUUUUAUUUUCUCCAGCAGAAAGAGGAUCUUUUUGACUAUUUGCUUAAAAAAAGACUUCAGUGGAAUGAUUUGAGACAGGUUUUCCAGUUGUACGCUGCAACAACAUUAACAUGACAAAUGAACACAGAAGCCAAGUUAAAUUAUCAGAGUACUGCUGGGAAGCGAAAUAUUAUAAAGCCUUUAAACAUCAUCCUUUUGGAAUUUUUAAUAACUUGAAAAGAUGUUAAGUGAAAUGCUAACAUUAAGUGAAAAAAACAGGUUAUAGAACUGUACAAUUUCAGUUAUAUGAGAAAAAUAUUUAUGUAAGAAAAAGAAAGACUAGAAAAAAUAUGCCAACAGUUUUGUGAUUGGUUUCUUUCUCUGGGUGAUGACAUAAUGAAUAACUUUAUGACUUUCUAUGUUUUUCUUCAUUUCCCAAGUGUUCUACAAUGAACAAUUUGUACUAUAUUUUAAGAAGUAGAUGCAUGUUUUGGUUUGCUCUGUGCAAUCAGAUUAUAUGGGGAGUUUGCAAGAUAGACAAGUGGGCGCCCCAUAUGUACAUGUCAUGGCAGAGCAGCUUCUCUAUAAACAAUCAGAUAUUCUUGAGCUUGAUGAUCUGAACAUGAAGACAGCUGGAUUACUCAGUUCUAUUUUUGCUGCCAGCUCCCCAGGGCAACCUGGUAAUCUGUGGGUGCUCAUUUCAAGAUUAGGUACUGAGCUGCUUCAUUGUAAAAGACCUCAAGGGCAGUGCACAGUACAGUAUCUGCCAGCAAGACUCUGGUCAGGGCUACAGGAGGCGGUGGCUGCCUGGGUGGGUCAGAGGAGACCACCGGGGAGGCAGGACUUUUGUUCUUUUGGGGUCAAGAUGACGAACACAUCCUGGUUCACAGUUACAUCAGUUUAUUGUCCUCAGUUAACAGCCACUACAUCUAGUGGUAGCCAUAGGACAGAACAUUCUCAGUCCCAUCUGAGAAUAAGCAGCACUAAGAGAAGUAAAGGAAUAAAAUCAGAUAAUCCUUAAUGAGACAAUAUUCCAGAGGGACGGUCCAUUGGAAAAGACUGACCAUAUGAUGAAGAUAUGAUUAAAGACCAUCAUCACACUCAGGUAAAUGUGUACUAUGAGUUCAGGGGAGGCCAAGGAAGGAAAUUCAGAAAAAAAGUUAACAUAGACUAGAGUGGUUGAAAAAAGUUUUCUAGAGAAGGCAAUGCUUUGAAUAAUGGUUUUAUUGUAAAAUGAUUUGAAAGUCCACCUAAUUCAGGAGUGUUUAGUGUUUUGAGUGAUGAACAGCCUGAGUAUCUAGAAUUUUGAUCCUGUUCUGCCCCAGAUUCUCUGUAUGUCAUCACUGGGAAUAUGUUUCCUGGCCUAUAGAAUACCAGUGUCAACAACUACCUGCCCUACAAGUGUGGUAGGAUGAGUCAUGGAUGGUAAACAUACUAGUUGAACUUAGUGGUGCUGUUACCAAAGGCUUAAAAAUGUGAGACAAUUAAAUAUAGACCUAGGCAACAGUGGAUUCUUAAGAUAAAUGAUAAUGAUCAAAAGCUCAAAGUCUGCCUGAAAUGGUGUUCACCUUCCAGUUGAGUCAGGAGGGAUUUCUCUGCUGAGGUAUCCUAGUUACAAGCUGAAUAUAGAGAGGUGGAAUCAGCUGAAAAGUAGUUAUUCUGUUCCUGGAGUGGGCUCACUAAGCUGGGUAGUAUGAGGUGAAUUUAAAACAUCAUUAACAAGAGUGCUGUUUGGACGAGUUUGUAGCGCUCAAACCUGAACUGAAAGCUAUACAUCCUCAGGAGUGCAGGCAAUCAGCUAGAUUCGUAUCAGUUAACACAACCCUCAGGAACAAUGCCAAGAGAGGCUCAUCUAACCAAAAGAUUGGAUUCAUCACUGAACACACCAUGUCUCAGAAUGCAAGACUCCCCAUACAGUCACUUGUUCUGUUAAUGUGAAAUGGAUUCAGUUGAACAGGGAAGCAGCACACCAAAAGCAAGCAAACAGAGCACUGGCCCCGAUUCACACCAAGAACACGUUUUCCUUUAAGAUGGGCUCUCUGAUAGUCUGGCUAGGCCCUGCCUGUGUGCAUCACCAGUUGAAUACCCAUGGUGUCAGCUCUCUUACCCUGUAGGACUGGAGCAGUACUGUGAAAAAAACAGUAAGAAGUCAGUGUUUAUUUGAUCAGUCAUGGACACCAGGAAGGCUGUGUGGCAGUUUUGCAAGCAGAUACUAUUUUUUACGAGGUUAAAAACUACCUGAUAAGAGACCUUAUGGUAAACCUGCAAUAGAAAAACAAUAAGCAAACAAUAAAACCAAGACCACAGGAACACAGUAAUAACAUUUUGAUUGAGGUGAUAUUUGCAGCACUUUUACAAAUAUUGACUCACCAAAGAUGAGGCCGAAAAAUAAACCUGGUUUAUAUUUGAGCCAACCACACAAAGCAUUUGGAGUACUCCCUUAGCGAGCUUCUCACUGGCCCUGGAAUCAACCCUAGAAACAAGCACUCCUUCAUAUUCAACCUCCAUCUGCCACUGCAGAAUCUCCCACACCCUGUCUAAAUUCAUCACAGUCCUUCUCUGGUGGCUCACAGCAGCCUUGUCUCCAGUGGCUGGAGAAAUGAUGAAUAAAGAUCAGUUACAAGUGAUGACAUAUGCCCUUAUAAAAACAGUAAUUCCAUUUUAAUAUGUUUGCUUCUCCUCUCCCCUUUCUGUUUGCACUAAAAGAACCUGAUGUAAAGUCCUCUCUUUUCUUGGAAAACUUUGCUUAUCAGGGCCUUCUGCUACAUGGAAAGACAAAUUAACAUUGCUUUGUUAAACAUCAUACUAUGGGAAUGGUAAACCAAAAAACAAAUUGCACAAGAACAAGAAAGAGGACAAAAUUGAAAAAGAAGGUGUUUUGGAGGAAGUGAUUUAUUGUUGUUUUUUUUUUUUUUUGGAACUGGGGAUAGAACUUGGGUCCUUGUACUUGUGGAGCAGGCAGUGAAACCACUGAGCUAAAUCCCUGGCCCCUUGGAGGAAGUGAUUUAGUAAAGAGGAGGUUCUCAUGUAGCAAAGGAGGCCUGGGGGUGUUUGGAGAAAGAAAUGUGCUCCUCACUCAAUUCAGGGACCCAUGGAAGCUCCAGUCCUUAGAGGACAGGGUUGCAUGAUGUGCCUGAGCACAUGGUGACACACUCUCCAGUUCCCACACCCUGCAGCAAUUGUCUGUCAGGCAUCUAUCCUCUGGGAUGUGUGUGUGUGUGUGUGUCUCCAUAGGGGCUUCAAAAUAGAAAUCAGCCUUGUCUACAGAAAAUAGGGAGAGGUGGGCUGUCCAAAAAGAGCAGCUGCUCUAAGCAUUUUCAUCCCUGACCCACACCUGAGUGGUCCAUCAAUGAAACUGUUAUAGAAUCUUUGCCUGGCACACUCAGGGGCAGGUUCACAUUCUGCUGGCUGAAAUUUAUUUAAUCUGGGGGACCUUCUUCGAAAAAAAUUAUAAAUAUAAAAUUAACUAGAGAGUCUUGGAAAGAACCAGUGCAACUGAAGAAAGUUGAAAUUUAAGUGUCAUUAGUUACAUGAUGAAUCUUUCUUUGCUGGCUGUGCUACAGUGUGUUCUGGGUAAGCUGGGAAAAUGGCUCUUUCCACACAUCCGGUCACAUCUUUCUUCUGAGAGUGUUUCACCUGCCCAUCUUGUCCAUCUUUCCACACUAUCCUAGCCAAGGGAAGCUCUGAAAGUGGGUCAUUUACACAAAAUCCAUUUGUUUACUUACUCUCUCCCAGAAGUACUUUAACUGGUUACUCAACCAGGUUUUUACCCUUAAUUAAAAAAUCUCUUAUUUCAGCAUGAAAGGUUUCCCAUUUGGUAAUCAUUCUCCCUAUGAAACCUCACACUUCCCCUUCUAUAUGUAACCAUUUGAAAAAGAAAUCUCUGCCAUCAGUAACCAGACCAGAACAUUGGGAGGUAGGAGAGAAGGUGAAACCUCCCAUGAAAUCUCCCUGGAACUGUUCAUCUGGUCUUGGAAGGAGACUGAUUUGCAGUGAGUUUUAUAAGAUCUAUUGACUUUGUCACGGGUGGAAGAAGACUCAGGUCCACAUAAGCAGUCAACAUUUUGUGAGUCUCUGCAGUGGAAAGGUGAAGAAGGAUAGUGGCUUUUGCUAGAGCAGAUGCUGAGGGUCCAAUCUCACCUAGAGGGAGGAUCAUUGCACCAAGACACACAAAAGACUGCGCUAUGGAUUCUCAAGAAAAUUCCAAAGGAAGACUUCCAAACCUUCUGCAUAUGGCAUUUCUUCUGCUCUUUCAGACAUUUGGUCUUGUUUGAGAAAGGAAAUCUCAAUUGUUUUGGCAUCAGGCCUUACCUAUGUUUCAAGAAAGAUGUCACAGUAUAUUCAAAGGAAUAAUUCUUUAUGUAUAAAAUAUUUUCUUCCGUGUUGACAUUUCCUAAUCUUUGCAUUGAGCAUAAUGGAAAAGAAAUAUAGGAUCUAGCAACAGAGAAAGAGGAGCCACAUUUGUUUUCCACAUUUGGGUGUACACAUCCUUGCUUUUUUGUUUUUCCCUUCUUAAAAAAAACAGCUGAAAAUCCUAGAUCUUUAAAGAGGAUUAGAAAUCCAAGAGGCAGGCUUGGCCUAAGGUGAAAGAGCUUUAGACAAGGAGCCAGGCAACUUGGGGUUUGGACCCCCUUUGGCUACUAACCAACAGGUCUUGGGACCUCAUCUAUGUACCUUAUUCACUAGGCCUCACUUUGCUCAUUAAUGCAAUUAGAAGCUGCACUGGGUCAUUCCUUACUCCUUCCCAGUUCUACUGCUUGUUUAUUGGUCUUCCUCUGAGAAUUCCAGAAACCUUUAUAUAACUUCACUGG